AGAGUGAGAUAGAGCCUCUGGGCCAGGGAACCAGAUGGUGCUGGCAGGAGAGCAGUGGCCCUGCCUGGGGGGUCCUGCGGGUCUUUUUAUGGGGCUUCCCGCGUCAAGCCCACAGGUUUCCCCAGAGCAGGAUGCUGCAGCUGACCGUCUAACGGCGGGGCGGGGGCGUGGGGGGCACGCACGGGCUGGGGAGAGACGGCGGAAUGCUGAGCGCUGGGAUUUGGAUUACUCCGGACCUAGCAUGAAGCACUCUCGUGGGACGGGGGAGAGCAAUGAAUGCUGCUAAUCGGCCCCCUAAGCGUCCUCCGUGACUGCAGGGUGCGGGCUCAGCUAGAAGGCGGAGGCGGUGAUCUCUUUAUUACGCAUGAACCUAUUUAUCUGACUCACGUGGGCAUCUGUGACCGGUUGGCCCGAUGCCCGGACGUCCAGGGCGAUGGCGCAGCACGGGGUCUGGCUCUGCUCUCUCCUGUGCAGUGGGCUCCACCCCUUGUGGGACGCGGUGGCACCAGGUCUGGAAACACCAGUGAAAUUGUUUCAUCAUGGAAUAUUAAACCUUGUAUCAGGUGUUCAUCUGUGUUUCCAGAAUUGGGUGGCCACCCUGCAGACGUGCUUUGGGAGUCUCUUUACCAAAACACAGCAACUCCAGCUUUCAGCCCAUCCCCCGCCGCUGAGACGUGCCCGCCCCACGUGGGUGGGCUCCCAGGGAUGCUGCUGUGUGACCUGCCCGCUGGCCUUGUUGGCUGAGCAGGAGGUGGACACUGGGUUUGUGUAGGAUACUUCUCAGUGUCCUGUAGACGAUGAUGAAUCCGCUGUCACAAGGGGGACACGAUUGACAAGCUCCUCCAGGCUGGCGCUAACAGCAGCACCGCCAGAGACACAGGGCUGCGCGUCCGUCCCGGCCAGCAGGCAGACUCCUCCUUCUGCUCCAAAGCUGGCCUUUUUUCUAAUAGAAAAGCACUUCCCUGCAAUACUGAGAAGAAUCUGCUCGUUGAAACACGGUUUCAAAUCCUCACACCCCAGCUGGUCUUCACUAAGUGAAAAGCUGUCCUCCGGUGCCCAAGGCUAGGAUGUCGUCAUCGGCUGUCCUUUGCCAAAACCAGCUCCACCAAGUGUAAGCACGCAGGACGGCUUCCCGUGGCUGGCUCUGGGUACAGAGCCCCCUGACGGCUUUUUAUCUGAUGUUGUUUCUGGCGUUUUCCGUGGCGAGCAGAAGGGGGCAAAACGUGGCUUCUGACUUCCUGUACCUUAUUAAUGUCCUUUCUUGUUUAUAGCUGGUAACUUCAUAAAGCUGGGCGAAAAAGUAGGAAAAAAUGGCAAAAGACUUUAAAUCUAAACAUUUAAGGAAAGAAUGAUGGAAAGAGAAAGAUUCACAAGAAGAAGAGAUUGGGGAGCAGGCGGGUGAGCGAGCUCCCUCAGGGUAAGAGAGACCACUUACCCUGGAGCCGAGCCCGCCCCCCAGAAUAGAGCAGGAAGCGGAGGGAGCUUGUGGGGCUGAUGGAGCCAGGGAACGAUGGAUUGAAAGGAUUUGACGAAACGAAGGCCGGAAAACUGGAUUACCCACUGCGAAUGGGACCUGGAUCUGCUUCUGUCGAAUGUGAAGUAUUAAACCUUCCUGGCUGUGUUGGCUCCAGCUGGAAUCUGAUACAGCCUCUGGGUAUAAAGAGCAAAAUUCUAAAAGCUCGUCAUGCGCCACCGUUAGUGCUCAUAAUCUAUUAUAGUUUAUUAUAUUUAAUGAGGAUUGUGUAAUACAUAACUAUAACCUAAUUAUAGCCCAUCCUGUAAUCUGUUUUGAACACAGAUGUAAGCCGCAACCCUGCCCCCCACCGUAUAUCUGGGGGGUCCUUGCACCUCCAGGUAAGUCCUCUCUGGGUGACCACCUCGUGGUCUGACGUUCUGACUUGGGGCCAGCCGCUCGAAAGUCAACUCCCGAGAGGCAAGUGUUGGUGGAAAGGAAAGUUGCUUUUAAUCAGAAUGCUGGCCAUCUGGGGAGAAGGCAGACGUGUGUCCCCAGAAACCAUCCCGAAGGGUCUGCUUGACCAUGAAGGGUUUUAAAGGGAAAAGGGGAGGUAACCUCAGGUAAUCGUGGAGAUGGGGGACAGGCCCGUUGCCACCCCCCACCACAUGCAGACUUGUCGACGUCUUGUGAUCUUUCCUCAGAUGCCCUUUCAUUCAUGCCGUCUGUCUGCAAGACCACAAAGGGGAAGCGGGGAAGCGACGUGGUCAUCUGUUAAAUCCGCGAGGACGGCAGUGGGGGAGGCACCUCUGACCUGGUCUCCAGUGUGGUGCCAGCCCCGUCACGGCCCCGGGAGCCACCGCCACCCCGUCAGUCACCUCCUCUGCGGGGAGAGGCUGAGCUGCACGCCCGCCCCCAUCCUCCAUCCACAAAGACGGCUCCCUUCGUCUUAUUAACGAUUCCACAUAUGAGUGCUGUCACAUAUUUGUCCUUCUCUGUCUCAGUUACUCCACUGAGUGUGAUCCUCUCUGAGUCCAUCCCUGUUGCUGCAAAUGGCAUGAUUUCAUUCUUUUUUAUCAGCUGCCUUCAUUUUGUGGGCGGGAAACUGAGACCUAGACAGAUGAUUGCUCUCAGCAGGGGCUCUGAAGGCUCGCACCUCAUCACAACUGAUAGACCUUCAUGUCUCUCCCUCCUCGACUGCUCUGAUCAUUGUAUUUGAAAAUCCACCAUAAAGGGGAGAAAUUCUCGGGAGGCUUUGAAGAAGGGGCCAAAGUCUUUAAGUUACAGUGAGGAGUGCAUGCAUACGUGUGUGUGUGCAUGUGUGGACGUGAGUUUGAGGUCUGCAUGGUUCGGGGUCCAGAGACCUAGGCUUGCAAAGACGGAGGCAGGGAGCAUCCAGUGCAGGCGCUGGCCCCAGUCAGGUGCCCUGCAAGCUGCAGGCACGUGAGCUGAGCGGCAGAGAGGGGAGCUGGAGGGGGAUGGAAGAAAAAUCACCUAGAACACAGCUCUGCCCUCCAAGACGCGCUCGGAAUAUAAUCUUUUCAAAGUUAAGGAAAAAGCCUGGCUCCUGGCUGAUACAGGGCCCCUGUCUGAGUCCAGCCAUUGCCCAGAGUGGCAGUUGAGAGCAAAUUUUUCGUUUGGGGGUUUACCGCCAGGAAGCCCUCUGAGACCACAAGGAGGGUCCAUGUGUGCCCCUUUGCACUUUCUAAAAAACUAAAUUGAGUCCCUUUGAAAUCUGUAGAUAUGAGUCUGCUGAACUCCCCACAGGAAGAACUGAAAAUUCUCAGGAUUCUGGUUAUUUAUAGCCCGCGUUCCGUGCCUGCAGCACCAGGUUAUCAGCGCUUCCCCGACGGGUGCUGGGUCCUGGACGACGUGCCUUACACUGUUUCUGCACGACUCAGCCAGUGACAUCACCAGACUUGGCAGAAUCCCCCAAAGUUCAGAGGAGAAAGGGAGGGAGCACCAAAAUUACCGGGGAGAGUUCCUGGAAUCAAGCUGUCUGUAAGGGUUUAUCGUUUUAAGGGAAUCCACUUAAUUCCCUUAAAUCAUUUUGACUAACUCACUAGCUAGUUCAGCAAAGCAAGCAGCUUAACCCAUUGACGAUCGAAUUGAUUAACUGCUUUUGUUUGCGUUUCUUGUUUUUGCUUUUGUUUUUGACAUAGUGUAGGCACAGCUCAAGUUAAGCAAACCCGACCAUCUUUUCAAUGCUUCCGGAAUAGAAGCGAAAAUAAUUUACGAAUGUGAGAGUCCAUGUGGAAAACAGAGCUUCAUUAAAGAAUUAGGUGGGAUUAAAUGGGUUAAGCUCACCAGAAAAAAGUUAAAAUAAAAGGCUAUUCUUGCCAGGGAA